rnacentral:rRNA from 1 species
AUUGAACGCUGGCGGCAUGCCUUACACAUGCAAGUCGAACGGCAGCGGACCUUCGGGUGCCGGCGAGUGGCGAACGGGUGAGUAAUAUAUCGGAACGUACCUUUCAGUGGGGGAUAACGUAACGAAAGUUACGCUAAUACCGCAUAUUCUGUGAGCAGGAAAGCAGGGGAUCGCAAGACCUUGCGCUGAUUGAGCGGCCGAUAUCAGAUUAGCUAGUUGGUGAGGUAAAGGCUCACCAAGGCGACGAUCUGUAGCGGGUCUGAGAGGAUGAUCCGCCACACUGGAACUGAGACACGGUCCAGACUCCUACGGGAGGCAGCAGUGGGGAAUUUUGGACAAUGGGCGCAAGCCUGAUCCAGCCAUGCCGCGUGAGUGAAGAAGG